rnacentral:lncRNA from 1 species
UAGUGACAUAGAAAAGCUCAACUUGAAGUUGAACAAUGAAUUGAAGCUAAAGGAACAACUUGAAGCUAAACAAUGACACAAACUCUAAAGGUACAACUUGAAACCAAAAAGUGAUACAAAAAACUCAAGGUGUAGCUCAAUGCUAAACCUUAACAAGGAAAAUUGAAAGUAUAACUCAAAGUUGAAUAAUGACAAAGAAAGAUAAUGGCAAGAAUAAAAGAUGAACAAAGACAGAAAUAGAA